CUAUAUACGUAUAGUAAAAGUAUUGUCCACCUGAAGAUCUUAGCUUACUCUCGUAGCACUCGAGGUGAACUCACUUCCGUCCUCUGCUCGUGUCUUCUGAUAUCAUAACAUCGAAGAUAAUCAAUAGGCUAAGAUAAAAAAAAAAAAAAAACGGUUAGGAACCUUCUUACUAAGAAUGCUCUUCCUAUCUUAGUACUAUUAUGUCACUCCUUAUUACUACAUGCCAACUAUCUCAAUCUCAUAAGUAUAACACUACUUAAGUAAUCACUAAUCCUACUCUCGACUUGUCGCUCAUAUAGAACUAAACUACAUCAACAAAUAAAC
rnacentral:lncRNA from 1 species